rnacentral:antisense_RNA from 1 species
UGUGGGAGCGGGCUUGCUCGCGAAGGCGUCGGCCCAUUCAAAAUGGAUGCAAGCUGACCCACCGCCUUCGCGAGCAAGCCCGCUCCCACA